rnacentral:rRNA from 1 species
CAGCAGCCGCGGGAAUACAGAGGGUGCGAGCGUUAAUCGGAUUUACUGGGCGUAAAGCGUGCGUAGGCGGCUUUUUAAGUCGGAUGUGAAAUCCCUGAGCUUAACUUAGGAAUUGCAUUCGAUACUGGGAAGCUAGAGUAUGGGAGAGGAUGGUAGAAUUCCAGGUGUAGCGGUGAAAUGCGUAGAGAUCUGGAGGAAUACCGAUGGCGAAGGCAGCCAUCUGGCCUAAUACUGACGCUGAGGUACGAAAGCAUGGGGAGCAAACAGGAUUAGAUACCCCUGUAGUCCCUGUCUCUUAUAA